GUUCGUGCCCUCCCGUUCCUCCUCCUCCUCCUCCUUCUUCUUCUUCUUCCAUAAUGUAAAACUAACACGUUUUCCUUUUCUUCUUCUUCUCUGCGCAAGAUAACCUAAUCGUGGAAAGUGUUUUUUGGCUUCUUCACACCAUUGGAAUCCGGUAGUUGCAGGGUUGUAAAGAGAGCUGUUGCAAUGAACACAACAGGGGAAUCACAUACUAGGCUAUGAUAUAGCUUCAUGGCCCAGUGAAAUCUCACAUUACAUGUUGGAGAGUCUCUUAGGACAACAUAGAAGUGGAAGGGCUGGAGAUAAUGGCUUGAGAAAAGAUCAAUGGAUUGCAAUUUCCAAUACACUUAAAGAGAAAUUCUUCACAACAUAUAAAUGAGAACAAUGUAGAAAUCAUUACAGAAUUUGGAAGCAAAGGCUUAAAGCAUUAGGAGACCUAUAAAAGCAAAAUGGAUCAGGAUGGAAUGUUUCGAAAAUGAGAUUUGAUGCACCUCAACAUAUCUGGAUUGAAUUUAGGAAAAAGGAACAUAAAUAUUGGAAAGAACAUAAAAUGCUUCCAAUUCACUUGGAGGUUGGACUUUGAUUGAGGAACGAGAUUGCAAAUGGGGAAUGAUUCAACAGUCCUAUCUGAAGUGACAACAGAAGUUGUAAUGGACAUUACUGGUACACAGGUUGAGGGCUUAGGGAAUAAUGAUGUUGAAGGUGAAUAUCCAAACUUUGAAGCUGAAGAAUGUGUUUCUUGCACUCCCGUGGGUAGUACCAGUCGUAGUGGAGGAAGACCUCGUGGAUCUGUCAAUAGCGGUAGAGAUAAAAGGAAUAAGGGGGGAGCUGAAAAGCUAUCAAUUCCAUUAAAAUCUAUAGCAAAUUCAAUCAAGAAGAUGGUCAUGAAUGUAUCCCAUGAUGAAUUUAGCAGAGCUUUAGUUGAUGCAAUUGAUGCUAUUCUAGUUACUGAUUUCCAUAAAAGAUGGAAGGCAAAAGAAUUUUUUAUGGAAAAAAGGAAUUCAACCAUUUUGUUUAUGCAAACAAGUAUGGAAGAGAGGAGAUAUGUGUUAGAAAUGUAUGUGCCAUAUAUGUUUAUGGUUUGUGGACAAAUGUUAUGUUUUAUUAGACGACAUGAUCUUCUGCAGGUUUAAUGCAUGUUAUACUAAUAUUUACGCU